AUGACAACCAGCAGAAGAACGUUGGGCCAGAAAAAAGCAUUGAGCUUGAGGGACUAGACUAAUCAAAAAAUGGAAUAACAUGGCAACAAUUACACUGAUGAGUGAGAGGGAAGCGGCACAUGCAUUCAGACACCUAUGGCAUCGCAGGCUCCGCGCAUUCAGCGUUUCGUGUUUAGGGCCUUGUGUUUUUGAGAGCAGACUCAUGAGGGGCUGUUGUGUUCACCAUAGCACCAGGCCUGGGAGCAUUGGGGAAGCUCAAAACUGUCUGUUGAACAAAAGGAGAGAAGAGCCAUGGAAGCCAUCUAUACUAUGUUGUCUUGAUCCUUCAUGCAAAAUCAGAGACAAAUCUCACUUCUGGGCUGCUUACUUAAUGGGUUGUCUCCUACCCUUGCUGCAGGAAUGCUGUUCACAAUGGACCGAUGGACAUUUUAUUGAAAAAAGAAUAGAGCCAGAGAAGCUAAGCUUUUAUCUACCACCAUGGAAACAGGCGAAUCAUGGUUUCUCAAAGUCCUAACCUCAAUAAGCAUCCCAAACUGACAAUUGACGUUAGAGGAAGUCGAGGAUAGAGUGAUAACCUGGAAUCACCAAUAAAAGUUAUUGUAACUGA
rnacentral:lncRNA from 1 species